rnacentral:lncRNA from 1 species
GUGGUCUUCUCCUGAUCUCUUAUCUUCAUUUUCUCAUGAACCGUCUGAAUUUUCUAGUGAUUAGGGCUAAGUCCUCAUCUUCUUCACUAUUCUCUGAUUUUUCUGAAUCUUCUUCUUCUUGAGCUAUCGACUUGAGAGCAAUUAUCUUUUUUCUUCUAAUCUCUUCCUCAAAAUAUUGCUUCAUGGUUAGCUCAUGGGUCAUGAGAGAUCUAAGUAGCUCCUCCAAAGACAGAGUGUUUAAGUCCUUGGCUUCUUGAAUUGUAGUGACCUUUGCCUCCCACGAUCUUGAU